rnacentral:rRNA from 1 species
UACGUAGGGUGCAAGCGUUAUCCGGAAUUAUUGGGCGUAAAGAGCUCGUAGGCGGUUUGUCGCGUCUGCUGUGAAAACUGGGGGCUCAACCCCCAGCCUGCAGUGGGUACGGGCAGACUAGAGUGCGGUAGGGGAGAUUGGAAUUCCUGGUGUAGCGGUGGAAUGCGCAGAUAUCAGGAGGAACACCCGUGGCGAAGGCGGCUCUCUGGGACGGUACUGACGCUGAGACGCGAAAGCGUGGGGAGCGAACAGG